UAAAGAUAGAAGCCCCAAAGCAGAAGCUUGAGAAAUUUGCCUAAAAAAUGUAAAGACAAACGGUAUCAAGUCAGGUGCAUCUGGAGAAGUGCUUUUCUCCUGCUGCUAUGCAGAUCAGCCAAAAACUAUACAUACGAAAUCUCAGAGAAAUGGAUGAAGUUAAGAAGGUAAGUAACGGAUGUUCCUGAAUAUUAAAUAAAGUCCAAAAAAUAGAAAUAAUGUUGUUUUUAACCUUUUCAGUGUUAAGUUUUCAGUAGUCUUAGGUUUAUAAUAGACUUAUUAAUGAUUGCACUUGCGGGAAC
ensembl:lncRNA